UGGAGCUGCCUGCCUUUGCCUUGCCUUUGCCUUGCCUGCGCCCUCACCUUCCUGCGCGUCCCGGCGUUUUAAAAAACCACAAGAAAGGGGGUGAAAGACUUUACACGGCACGCACAUGGGAGAGCGCAGCAUUGUUCCUCUGCUUCUCUUUUUUUUUUUUUUUUUUUUUUUUACAUUCCUGCACGAUGGCUUAUAUAUGAGGGAGGACACUUGGUGAUGCGGACAUAAACAAGCGUCUCCACGGACAGAGAGAGAGAGAGAGAGAGAGAAGCGCAUGAGAAAACACAACGCCGUCUGUCCUCACCGACAACCGAGAAGGACUCCUCCCCGCCCGCCACGGCUGUGACACCACCGGUAAACCGCCGAGGACAAGGAUAGCAGUCUGAUUUUUUUUUUAUUUCUUUAUUUUUUCUUCUUCUAAACGCUGGAAACUCAACGUUGCCAUUCAUCCGCCACUGACUGACUGUAUGGCUUUAAAAAGUUGCCUGGAAAACAUGGACAUCUGACGUGCGCCUCACAGCGUCAUUGGACACAUUGAGCCCCCCUCUCCUUUUUUUUUUUUUUUUUUUUUUUUUUUCUUUUAACUCCAUCACAUCUCGGGUUUACUAAUCCCCCCUCUCUGCGCUUUCGGUUUGGAGUAAGAAUAAGUGUUCAGCAGUUGUCAUUUGCCCUGACACAGGCUACAUCCAGCAGAGAGAGAGAGAAGGAAAAAAAAAAAGAGGGGCACCACUCUCAGUCCAGGAGAAGACGCUGCCUGUUGGUGCUGCGCAUUUGUUGGGCUAUGUGCUGAUCUCACUGUUUGUGCGUUAGAGGGAGAGAGAGAUAUUUUGUCAGCCCACCACGGAUUUGUCAGCGCUGACAUCCUGCACGAAAUAAAAAAAAAAAA